UCCAGACUCCUACGGGAGGCAGCAGUGAGGAAUAUUGGUCAAUGGGCGGGAGCCUGAACCAGCCAAGUCGCGUGAGGGAAGACUGCCCUAUGGGUUGUAAACCUCUUUUGUCAGGGAGCAACGCCGGCUACGUGUAGCCGGACUGAGAGUACCUGAAGAAAAAGCAUCGGUUAACUCCGUGCCAGCAGCCGCGGUAAUACGGAGGAUGCGAGCGUUAUCCGGAUUUAUUGGGUUUAAAGGGUGCGUAGGCGGGCUGUUAAGUCCGCGGUGAAAGGUCGGGGCUCAACCCCGGCCUGCCGUUGAAACUGGCGGCCUCGAGUGGGCGAGAAGUAUGCGGAAUGCGUGGUGUAGCGGUGAAAUGCAUAGAUAUCACGCAGAACUCCGAUUGCGAAGGCAGCAUACCGGCGCCCUACUGACGCUGAGGCACGAAAGCGUGGGUAUCGAACAGGAUUA
rnacentral:rRNA from 1 species